GGCGGGAGCGAGAGAGGGGGAAAGUUGGUAAUGAAGGAUACACGAAUCAUAAAAUGUAAGCUAUGUGUGAUUAAUGAUCUGCACUAAUUUGAAUAGCAGGCGUGUUAAAGGUCAGUGACAAUUGUUGCUGCUUUCAGCAUGAAUGCCCGAGUGGGAUGGAUUCGGGACGGGCAAAUUUCGUUCUAAGUCAGAGAAAAAAAUGCCGGGACGUGCGGGCAGGGAGGGCACGCUUGGAAAAAUGCACAGUGCCUUAACGCCCCGAUGGUGUCCAGAACGUCUGCCUUCUGAUCUCCACACAGCAGCAUCUCAAUGCUCAGUUUGCUCAGGGCCGUGAUUUAGCGGAGGGUUGUUAGAGUAGGAUGGUCAGGUUGCGGUUGGACUCGAUGAUCUUUAAGGUCUUUUCCAACCUGAGCAAUUCUAUGAGUCUAUGAUUCUAUGAAACGCAAAGAGCAUGUGUAGAUUCCACAGACUAGAAGGCAUGGGUGGCUCAUGCACAUCUGAAUAUCAAUGCACAGAACUAUUUCCAGUGAUGAUUCCUAAUGAGAAAGUUACACUUCUGACUCCAGUUAGAAUGGGCUCUCCUACCACCCAUGUGCUUUCAGUGUUUAUGUGGGUGGUACGAAUUUCCUCUGAAACAAAAUGGUUUCAAUCAAUAAUAUGCAUAUACUCUUUGAUAAAACGCAUUGGUUUCUCACAUACGCUCCAGAAAUCUGUCUCUCUGCUUUAACUGUGCCCUGGUGUGAGGCCGGUCCUGUGGGAAUGCACCGUGCUGCAGCAAAGGUUUGCACGCUGAUGUGCUCUGGGUCUGUGUGCCAUAAAGGCAAGCUCCUGUGCCCCACUCGUUUAGUCAUGCAUUAACUCAGCAAACAGACUGAACAACAGUUUUCCACUGGAAGAGCUGCACAUAUUUCUGGAUCUGAAGAGUCUAUUGGCACGUCAGCACAAGAAGAGACUUGGGCAUUUCUGAUGACAAGUGGUAUGGGGCAUGAGGACAUAGUCACAUGAGCUUUUACUCAUCAUACUAGUUGUCCCACUGCUAUUCAUGGAAUUACUUUAAUGAUAAAAGAUGACCUAGGUUUAUCCCCACCAUCUUAUUUACAGCGCACGACAAACUUUUCCUUAUGGCAGAAACAAUCUGGAGAACCUUCUUGAAGAAUCAACAUCUCAAGCUCUGAUGCCUUUCAUAUUUGCCCCUACCAUCAGCUCAGUUGCUAGGAUAUAGACUGAUUCUGAUUUCUGUGCUUUGAUCCUCUCAGAGCCACACUUCCUUACAUCAAGUUAUUCAACACUGCUGUUACAAUGACAUUGAGGAGCAGAGCAGAAGAAGAAGUUAAUGCUUCAGCAUGCGUACAGCCCCGGUGAAUGCAGUUA
rnacentral:lncRNA from 1 species